rnacentral:tRNA from 1 species
GUUUUUGUAGACUAUUUUUAAGUCGUGAAGCUGUUAACUUCAUUAAGCUUUUGGGCCAUGAACG